rnacentral:rRNA from 1 species
CCUACGGGUGGCUGCAGUGGGGAAUAUUGGACAAUGGGCGAAAGCCUGAUCCAGCCAUGCCGCGUGUGUGAAGUAGGCCUUCGGGUUGUAAAGCACUUUCAGUGGGGAAGAAAGCCUUGGGGCUAAUACCCUCGAGGAAGGACAUCACCCACAGAAGAAGCACCGGCUAACUCCGUGCCAGCAGCCGCGGUAAUACGGAGGGUGCGAGCGUUAAUCGGAAUUACUGGGCGUAAAGCGCGCGUAGGCGGUCUGAUAAGCCGGUUGUGAAAGCCCCGGGCUCAACCUGGGAACGGCAUCCGGAACUGUCAGGCUAGAGUGCAGGAGAGGAAGGUAGAAUUCCCGGUGUAGCGGUGAAAUGCGUAGAGAUCGGGAGGAAUACCAGUGGCGAAGGCGGCCUUCUGGACUGACACUGACGCUGAGGUGCGAAAGCGUGGGUAGCAAACAGGAUUAGAUACCCUUGUAGUC